GAAGAGCUGCCUGGGCUGCAGCCGCGGAAGCUGCGUUCUGGGGAGCGGGGAGCGUGCUCCGGCGCCUUCGGGCCGCUGCUGGAAGCCGGAACCGAGCCCGGGCCGCUGCCCCUCACCGGACGCCGCGCGCCACCGGCCCUCCGCGGGGCAGGGGCUGCUGCGAGCUCGCCGGGCGCCCUUUAGACAGUCGUCCUUGUCUACUCCACUACCAAAUGUUGAAGUUCUUCAAGAAUCAGUCCUUUGGAGGUGAUGUCAUUGAAAAUGAUGAGUAGGAAACUCCAAGAGCGCAUUUCUCCACAAAACCAGCAUUUAAGGAAAUCUGUUUCUCUUUUGGAUCACUAGCUGCAAAUUAAGCUAACAGAACAGGAGCUCAGCUGGUCACACACAGCAACGAAUACAGACUUUAUAAAGUUCAGAAAAGUUACCAAACAGUGGUAACCAUAACAAGUACCAACAAUGAACUAUGGGGAGGGAGGAGAAUCUGAUUUCCAGAGUUACCACAUUAUAAUACUAUUCAAAAUGUCACAUUUUUAGCAAAGAUUACAUGACAAGGAAAAACCAGAAAAGUAUGGCCCAUACACAGGUAAAAAAAGAAAUUAAUAGAAACUACCCCUGAAGAAGCACAGACUUCGGAUGUACAAAACAAAGACUUUUCAUCAACUCUUUUAGAUAUGCUAGAAGAGCUAAAGGAAACCAUGGACAGAGAACAAAAAAAUUAGGAAAGCAAUGUCUCAUCCAAUACAGAAUAUCAAUAAAGAGAUUGAAAUUGUAGAAAAGAACCAAAUAGAAAUUCUGGAGUUGAAAAGUAUUAUAACUAAAACUGAAAAUUCACUAGAGGUAUUCAGCAGCAGACUGGAGAAGUCAGAAGAAAGAAUCAACAGGCUUCAAGAUAGGUCAAUUAAGAUUAUACAGUCUGAGGAGCAGAAAGGAAAAAGAAUGAAGAAAAAUGAACAGAGCAUAAAAGACCUCUGGGACUCUAUCAAGCAUACCAGUAUAUGCAUGAGGGGAGUCCCAGAAGGAGAAGAAAGAGAGAAAGGGACAUAAUAUUUGAAGAAAUAAUGGUAGAAAAUGUCCCAGCUUUGAUGAAAUACAUGAAUCUAGAUAUUCAAGAGGCUCAAAGAACCCUAAAUAGGGUAAACUCAAAAAGACCCACACCGGAAUGCAAAAGUGAGCUGGGUGUGGUGGCACGUGCCUGUGGUCCCAGCUACUCGAGAGGCUAAGGCAGGAAAAUCGCUUGAACCCAGGAGGCAGAGAUUGCGGUGAGCCGGGAUUGCGCCAGUGCACUCCAGCUGGGCGACAGAGCGAGAUUCCAUCUCGAAAAAAAAAAAAAAAAAAAAAAAAAACUAUUGCUGCAGUCAUUCAGAUGGAAAUGGGGAAAGAAUAAUAUUAACUGAUUUCAAAAAGGACUUGAAGAUGUGAAUCAUCUAUUUUGCUGAAGAAAUCUUAACUCUUUGAAAUUACUUUUUGUUGCUGUUGUCAUACUCUUAGGUGCCAAACUGCGGUAAAUUUUUUAUCAGUGAAGUGGAAGCAUGUGUUUUGUUGUUUUGGGAAUUUUUAUCAAGUAUCUUCAGAGAAGAUUAUUUCCUGCUUUAUCUUCAAAAACUGGAAAGGAAGGGUCAAAGAAAAGACAGUAGCUGGCCGGUCAUGGUGGCUCAUGCCUGUAAUCCCAACACUUUGGGAGGCUGAGGUGGGCAGAUCACCUGAGGUUGGGAGUUCGAGGCCAGCCUGACCAACGUGGAGAAAUGCCAUCUCUACUAAAGAUGCAAGGAUUGGCCGGGCGUGGUGGUGCGUGCCUGUGAUCCCAGCUGCUCAGGAGGCUGAGGCAGGAGAAUCGCUUGGACCUGGGAGGUGGAGGUUGCGGUGAGCUGAGAUCACGCCAUUGCACUCCAGCCUGGGCAACAAGCGAAACUCUGUCUCAAAAAAAAAGAAAAGACAGUAGCUUAUGUUCAUGUCAAGCACCUCUCAUCACAGUCUAGUUCCAAGGAAAAAAUUCCCAGCGUUUUCUACAUUCGGUGCUGCGUCAUCUGAAAUCGGCACAUUCCAUGGAGGAAGGAGUCCUGCUUUGUUGCAUGUAUCCUAGGGUUUAAUGUUGGUAAAUGAGUCACUCUAGCAUUUGUAGAAGGCUCCCUGAGACUCCUGCAGCAGUCGACCAAGCCCAAGGACAUAAUUGAAUCUGGAGAGUCCUGGGGCCUUGUUUUGAAAAAGACUUGAAAUACACAUAGGAAGAAAGGCAUAAAAAUAAAUGUUCACUUGUCUCUGCUGUGAGUAUGUGUUCCAACUUUUCAGUGAUGGCUUUGAGAAUUCUCAAACUUGACUGGCUCUAAGUGUAUCUGGUGGCUUUUGUAUCGUAACCUGAAACUGGCUUAGUACUUUUUCCUAAAAGCUCAGGAUUUGAGAAUGAGGACCCCUUCGCCAGGAAAACAUGUAUACACUCAAAAUUUUGCUUGCAGUUCUAGGGUGUUUAGACCUUUCUCAGAUACCUGUGCAUCUUAUGGGUUUUGUUUUUCUCUUUGAGACAGUCUCACCCUGUUGCCCAGGCUGGAGUGCAGUGGCAUGGUCUCAGCUCAUUGCAGCCUCCGCCUCCUGGGUUCAGGUGGUUCUGCCUCAGCCCCUUGAUCGGCUGGGAUUGCAUGCAUGUGCCACCAUGCCCGGCUCAUUUUUGUAUUUUUAGUGGAGAUGGAGACAGAGUUUCACCAUGUUGGCCGGGCUGGUCUUGGGCUCCUGACCUCAGGUGAUCCGCAAGCCUGGGCCUCCCGGGGUGCUGGGAUUACACGCGUGGGCAACUGCGCCCAGCCCUUGUGUACCUUAUGUGAGGAAGUCCUGCUCAAUCAGGAUCGGUCACGCAGGCCCUGAUCUUGCUACUCUGGUUCCAUGUCCUAUGGAAGACCAAAGUUUACCAAGAUAGAUUUUUCCCUUCAUAGUGGCAGAUACUGUUAACCCCUGCACCAUCUAUAACUCAGAAAUCCCCACCAUUUCUUCCCCUGGGCUUCAGAAUAGAAUUGCCUGGUUUCUCUGAUGAUCAGCACACUUCCUUAAAACCCAAAUCAGCAAGGAAUGAACAAUUUUGUUUGGCAUGGAUGAAAUUAGCACUGUUUGGCUCGGUAGGCCCCAGACAGGCAGGCACCUUAAUUUUUUCCUUGCAUAUUCUAGUCUUCAGAAGCAUUGCCUUUUGUCCUACUGGUAGUGACAUAGAUCAAUAACAGGGCAUCUGGGGAUUUUAAUCCUGAAAACAGUGAGUCUGAUACUGCUUGUGUUUUUCAUCAGUGUCCACCCCGAGUGGGUCUUCCUGCUAUUCUCUUCACUUAGUUGCCCCUCACUUGCCAUCUGAGCAAUUGGCAAGGAUGUGCCAGGCCUAGGUUAAACUUGGAAACAUGCUUGACCAUUCUAUUCCCUGGUCCUUUAAGAUCAGUUUGGCUGCAAUUUUGGCUCCUUGGACCCUCAAGCAUAGCUGGUAAAUCAAGUUAGAGAUGUAACUGCCUUAAAACGUGCCAGCUUAGGCUGGGCGCGGUGGCUCACGCCUGUAGUCCCAGCACUUCGGGAGGCUGGGGCAGGCGGAUCACCUGAGGUCAGGAGUUCGGGACCGGCCUGACCAACGUGGAGAAAUUCUGUCCCUACUAAAAAUGCAAAAUUGGCCGGGUGUGGUGGUGCAUGCCUGUAAUCCCAGCUACUUGGGAGGCUGAGGCAAGAGAAUUGCUUGAACCCAGGGAGGCGGAGGUUGCAGUGAGCCGAGAUCACGCCAUUGCAUUCCAGCUUGGGCAACAAAAGCAAAACUCUGUCUCAAAAAAAAAAAAAAGUGCCAGCGUAUGAGGUAAUUAGAUUGGUUCUCUCCAGAGGUAACCUGCCAAGAAGAGAUGCUAUAGAUGUUACUCAUAUACUGUAAAACAUUGUGAAAUCAGAUUACUUUAAAAUGAUGUAUUACAAAGUUUUGCAAAAAAGCAGUUGUGACUGUGGAAGCCCAAGGCUUAUAUCCCAGCUCUGUCUUACACUAAAUAUGGGUAGAGUGUUUCCACUCUGUCCAUAAAAUGGGAGCUAAUAUUCUCCAACCUGUGUGCCUGACAUGAUGGUUAAAAGGAUUAAACAAAACAAUAGUUUGUAAUUUAUUCUGUCAGAGCACACUGCUGGUAAAUAAAAGGGAGUAAGUUGACUAAAACUAAAUUUAAAAAAAAAUCCUAAUAAAACAAGUUUGUAAUUUAUAAUUGUAUACAAAUAAAAGAUGUUACAAAAAAAAAAAAGACCCACACCAAGACACAUCAUAAUUAAACCGUCAAAAGUCAAUGACAAUCCUGCAAGCAGCAAGAGAGAAGCAAUUCCUCACGUACAAAGGAUUCUCAAUAAGAUUAAUAGCUGACUUCUCAUUAGAAACCACAGAGGCCAGGAGGCAGAGGCAGUGGGAUGAUAUAUUCGAAGUGCUGAAAGAAAAAACUGUCAAGAAUUCUGUGUCCAGCAAAACUAUCCUUCAAAAAAAAAAAAAAAAAGUGAAGGAGAAAUUAAGACAUUCACAGAUAAGCAAAAACAGAAAGAGUAUCUCACUAGUAGUCCUGCCUUACAAGAAAUACUAAAAGGAUCCUUCAGCCUGAAAUGAAAAGACACUAGACAGUGAUUCAGAUCCACAUGAGGAAAUAAAAAACACUGAAAAAGAUUUAAAUACAUAGGUAGAUAUAAAUGAAAGCAAUAAUUAUAUCUGUGUCAAAGCACAAUGUAUAAAGGUGAUUCAUGAUGAGGAAAAGAUGAAGUAUAGGAGCAAAAAUUUUGUGUACUAUUGAAACUAAGUUGGUAUUUAUUUGAAAUAGAUUGUUAUAAAUGAAAGUUAAUUGUAAUCCCUAGAGCAACUACUAAGAAAAUAACUAAAAAUUUUGGAAAGGGAAUAAAAAUGGUAUGCUAGAAAAUAUCUAAUACAAAAAAGGCAUAAGGGAGGAAUUGAGGAAGACAUAGGGAAAACAAAUAGCAAGGGGCAAUGUCCUUCCUACUAAUUACAUUAAAUGUGAAUGCCUUAAAUUCCAUUUAACAGAUGGAGAGAUUGGCAGAAUGGAGUCUUUUAAAUGUUCUAACUAUAUCCUGUUUACAGAAGACUGACUUUAGAACCAAAGACACAAACAUGUUGAAAGUGAAAGGGUGUCACCUUAGUUUUCUUUCUUUUUUUUUUUUUUUGAGAUGGAGUUUCACUCUUUUUGCCCAGGCUGGAAUGCAAUGGCGUGCUUGGCUCACCACAACCUCCGCCUCCUGGGUCCAAGCAAUUCUCCUGCCUCAGCCUCCUGAGUAGCUGGGAUUACAGGCAUGCGCCACCACGCCCAGCUAAUUUUGUAUUUUUUAGUAGAGAUGGGGUUUCUCCAUGUUGGCCAGGCUGGUCUUGAACUCCCAACCUCAGGUGAUCUGCCCGCCUCGGCCUCCCAAAGUGCUGGGGUUACAGGCUGAGCCACCGCGCCCGGCCAGCACCUUAGUUUUCUUGUGCUGCCGUAACAGAAUACCUGAGACUGGGUAAUUUAUAUAGAGCAGAAAUUUAUUUUCUCACAGUUUUGGAAUCUGAGAAACUCAAAAUUACGACAUUGGCAGGUUUGGUUGUCUGGUAAGAGCUGCUUUCUGCUUCCAAGAUGACACCUUAUUGCUGCAUCUUCUAUAGGGGAGGAAUGUUACAUCCUCAACGUGGCAGAAGGUAAAAGGGCAAAAAGGAAUGAAAUUCCUCAUCAGGCCCUAAGUUAAGGGCACCUAAUCUCAUUCAUGAGGGGAGGAGCCCUCAAGACUUAACCACCUCUUACUGGCUGGGCGCAGUGGCUCACGCCUGUAAUCCCAGCACUUUGGAAGGCCGAGGCGGGUGGAUCACAAGGUCAGGAGAUAGAGACCAUCCUGGUCCUAGUAGAGACACGGUGAAACGCGGUCUUUACUAAAAAUACAAAAACAAGAUUAGCCGGCCGUGCUGGCGGGCGCCUGUAGUCCCAGCUACUUGGGAGGCUGAGAUGGGAGAAUGGCGUGAACCUGGGAGGCGGAGCUUGCAGUAAGCCGAGAUUGCGCCACUGCACUCCAGCCUGGGCGACAGAGCAAGACUCCGCCUCAAAAAAAAAAAAAAAAAAAAGACUUAACCACCUCUUAAAAGUCCCACCUCUUAAUACCAUCAUGUUGGCCAUUAAGUUUAAAUAUCUGAAUUUUGGAGGGCACACAUUCAAACCAUAGCAAGUGGAAAAAGACAUUCCAAGAUAUCUCAGGUUCACAUGGAACAUUCUUCAGAAUAAAACAUGUUAGUCCACAAGUCUCAGUUUUAAAAGAUUGAAUUACAAAGUGCCUUCUCUGACUACAAUGGAAUAAAACUGAAAAUAACACACCCUUAAACAACCAAUGGAUCAAAGAAAGAUUAAAUCACAAGAGAAAUCAGAAAAUACUUUGAGAUGAAUAAAAACAAAAAUGCAGCACCCUAAAACGUUUGGAAUGCAGCAAAAGCAGUGCUCAAAGGCAAUUUUAUAGCUGCACAUGCCUACAUUAAAAAAUACCUAGAAUCAGCAACCUAACCUUCCACCUUCAGGAACUAGAAAAAGAAGAGGAAAUCAAACCCAAAGCUAGCAGAAGGAAGGAAAUAGUAAAGACUGGAGUAGAGAUAAAUGAAAUAUACAGUAGAAAAUAGAAUCCACAAAACCAAAAUUUGGUUGUUUGAAAUAAUAAUGUUCACAAACCCUUAAAAAGACUGAGCAAGACAAAAAGAUUCAGGUUACUAAAAUCAGGAAUAAAGUGGGGACAUUACUGCCAAUCUUACAGAAAUAAAAAGGAUUGUAAGGAAAUACUAUUAACAAUUAUAUGCUAACAAAUUAGAUAACCUAGAUAAAAUGGACAAAUUCCUAGCAGCACACAAACUACCAAAACUAACUCAAGAAAAAACUAAACCUAUAACAGUACUAGUUAAAAAAAAAAAAAGUAAACCAGUUAAAAACAAAAAACUUCCAAGAUAGGAAAGAUCAAACCAUGUGGCUUUACUGGUGACGUAAAGUAUUUUAAGAGUGCCAGUCCUUCUCAAACACUUAAAGUAGGGGAAGAGGGAAUAUCUUAACUCAUUAUAUGAUGCCGGCGUUACCCUGGUACCAAAUCCAGACAAAGACAUCACAAGAAAAUAAAACUACAGUCCAAUAGUUCUAAUGAAUAUAGAUGCAAAGAUCCUCAGCCAAAGUGAAUCCUGAAGCACAUUACAAGGAUAUCCACAAACAAAACUGUUAGAGCUAAUACCUCAAUAUCACAGGAUGCCCAGGAUCAACAUACAAAAAUUAGUUAUAUUUCUGUAUCCUUGCAAUGAACAUUUCAAAGUGAAAUGAAGAAAACUCAUUUACAGUAGUAUCAAAAAGAAUAAAAUACUAAUAAACAAGAUGUAAGACUUACACACUGAGAACUACAAAACAUAGUUGAGAGAAAUUUAAAAAGACCUAAAUAAAUAGGCAUUUUAUGUUCACGUAUUAGAAGACUUUGAAAAUGGCAAUACUCCCCCAAUUAACCAACAGAAUCAGUGAAAUUCCUAUGAAAAUUCCAACUGCCAUUAAUGUAGAAAUGGGCAGGUUGAUCCUAAAAUUCAUAAGAAAUUGCAAGGAUGUGGCCAGGCGCGGUGGUUCAACGUCUGUAAUUCCAGCACUUUGGGAGGCUGAGGCGGGCGGAUCACGAGGUCAGGAGAUAGAUACCAUUCUGGGUAACACGGUUAAACCCCGUCUCUACUAAAAAUAAAAAAAAAAAAAGUGUAGCCGGGCAGGUGGUGGGCGCCUGUAGUCCCAGCUACUGGGGAGGCUGAGGCAGAAGAAUGGCAUGAACCCAGGAGGCAGAGUUUGCAAUGAGCCGAGAUCGCGCCACUGCACUCCAGACUGGGUGAGAGAGCUAGACUCCAUCUCGAAAGAAAAAAGAAAAUGAAAAAAAGAAAUUGCAAGGAUGCCAAAACAGUCUUGGAAAAGAACAAAGUUAGAAGACCCACAUUUUGUGAUUUCAAAAUUUACCACGAAGCUACAGUAAUCAAAAGAGUGUGGUACUGACAUAAGGAUAGAUAUGUAGGCCAAGAAAACAGAAUUGAGAGCCCAGAAGUAAGCCUAUACAUCUGUGGUCAAUUGAUUUUUGACAAAGGUGUCAAGAUAGAUCACUGGGGAAUAGAAUAGUAUUUUUAAGAAAUGCUGAGGAUACUGGGUAUCCACAUGUAAUAGAAUGGAUUUGGACCCUUACCUUACACCACAUGCAAACAUUAAGUCAAAAUAAAUCAAAUACCUAAAUAUAAGAAUGAAACUAUACAACUAUUAAAAGAAAAUAUUGGGGUAAGUCUACAUGACCUGGGAUUUCCCAGUGGAUUCUUAGAUAUGAUACCAAGAACUCAAGUAGCAACAUGAAAAAUAGAUACAACUGGGCUUGAUCAAAAUUUAAAACUUUACAUAUCAAAUGACACUAUCAAGAAAGAGAAAAGAGAACCCACUGAGUGAGAGAAAAUAUUUGCAAGUCGUAUACCUGGUAAAGCUCAAAUAACUCUUACAAGUCAUCAGUUAAAAGACGACCCAAGUUAAAAAUGGGCAAAGGACUUGAAUAGACAUUUCUCCAAGGGAGAUAUUCUAAUGGCCAAGUACAUGAAGAGAUGCUUUGCAUCAUAACCUUCCACCUUAAGGGAAAUGCAAAUCAAAACCACGAUGAGAUACCACUUUCUAUACUCACUAGGGUGCUAUUAUUAAAAGACAAGUGUUGGCAAGGAUGUGGAGAAAUUGGAAAGCUCAUAAAUUGCUGGCGGAAAUAUAAAAUGGUGCGUUCAUUAUAAAAUAGUUUGAUGGUUUAUCAAAAUUUUAAACGGAAUUAACAUAUAACCCAGCAGCUCUCCUAAAUAUAUACUCAAGAGGAUAGAAAACUAAUCAAACAAAAACUUCUGCAUGAGUGUGUAUAGCAGCACUAUAAUAGCCAAUAAGUAGAAACAACCCAAAUGUUCAUCAAUAGAUGAAUGGACAAAUUGUGGUAUAUUCAUAUAAUGAAAAACUACUCAGCCAUAAAAAGAAAUUAGGUACUAGUAUAUGUUGCAACAUGGAUCAACCUUGAAAGACCUUGCUAACUGAAAGAAAAGGCCACAUCUUACAUGAUUGUAUUUAUGUGAAACAUCUAGAAGAGGCACAUCCAUAGAGACAGAAAACAUUGGUGGAUGCUAGGGGUUAGGGAAAUGUAGAAGUGGGGAGUUGCUGCUUAAUGGGUUUCUUUUUUGAGUGAUGAAAAUAUUCAGAUUUAGGUAGUGGUGAUACUUGCAAACAUUGUGAAUGUACUGGAAGGCACUGAAUUGUACAGUAAAAUGGUUAAAAUGGUGAGUUUUAUGUCAUGUGAAUUUUACCCCAAUAAUACCUCAAUAAUAAUUUUUUAAAAGUAGCCCCUCUCUUAGUCCAUUUUGUGCUGCUCUAACAGAAUACCCGAAACUUUAUAAAGAACAAACGUUGGCCGGGCACUGUGGCUCACGUCUGUAAUCCCAGCACUUUGGGAGGCCGAGGUGGGCAGAUCACGAGGUCAGGAAUUAAGACCAGCCUAGCCAACAUGGUGAAACCCCGUCUCUACUAAAAAUAACAAAAACUAGCUGGGCGUGGUAGCACAUGCCUGUAAUCCCAGCUACUUGGGAGGCUGAGGCAGGAGAAUUGCUUAAACCCGGGAGGUGGGGGUUGCAGUGAGCUGCGAUCACGCCAUUGCACUCCAGCCUGGGCAACAGAGCAAGAGAUUCUUGUCUAAAAAAAAAAAAAAGGAACUAUAUUGGCCCACAUUUCUGGCAGUUGAGAAGUCCUAGAUGAAGGGGCCACAUCUAGUGAGGGCCUUCUUACUGCAUCGUAACGGUGGAAGGCAUCACAUGAUGAGAGAGAGAGCAAGAAAAGGUGCUUUUGUUACAAGCCCAUUCCAUUAUAAUGAACCCACUCCCAUGAUAACAAGCUAUUCAUGAGGACAGAGCCAUCAUGACCUAUUCUCUAAUUAGGCCCUACCUCCCGACACUGUUGCAUUGAAGAUUAAUUUUCCAACACAAGAACUUUGGGGGACACAAUCCAUAGCAGUCCCUCUCUUCACUAAUUUCUUUCCAUGAAUUCUUCCACUCCCCUGACUUUUGUGUGUAGUUACCAUCUAUACACAGAUGCUUCACUAGAGGCAGUUUGUAUCUCCAACCCACAUCUUUUUUUUGAGUUCCAGAUGUGAAUAUCCUGCUGUUUACUUACCUACCACCUCCACACAUAGCUUCAAAUGCAACUUUGAAAUAUAAAACUGAGUUCAUUACCUUUUCUCCUAAAUUUGAUUAUCUGUGAAUGCUUUCUGUCUCACUAAAGAUAGCUUCCAGUCAUUGAGAGUUUGCUGUAUGUUUGGACUAAAGUGUUAAUCCAUUAAUUUACUUAAUCCUCACAAGAACCUCAGAUAAUACUAUUUUCCAUUUGCAGUGAGAAAGUUGAAAGGUAAAAUAACUUAUUGAAAUCACACACCUUUUAAGGAAAGGCUAGCCCUCAACAAAGGCAGCCUGACUUUUCAGAGCCUAUGUUCUUAAUGCCAUUGCUAUACCAUCCUCUAACUUUUUCUAGAGACCUAGAAGUCAUCUUUGUCACUUCUCUCCUUUACAUGCUUUAUCAAGUUGAUCAUGAGGUCCUAUUGAUUUGACUUCCUAAAUAACUCUCACUCCAUCCAGUUCAUUUCAUCUGCUACCACCAGCCUUAUUCAAGCAACCAUCUUUUGUCUAUACAAUGGCCUCUUAACUAACCUCCCAUAUUCACUGACAACAACCUAAUAAAAAUAUUUAUAAAUAUAAAUUUGUAUCUUACAGGUAGGGAAUUUAUAUUCUUCUCUUAUUAUGCCCAAGGAAUAUUUCCAAAUAUUAAUCAUAAGAUUGAUCACCUAGAAAACCUUAGUGAAUCAUGAAAAGUAGAAAUCUUAAGAGCUGCUUUUCAGAUGAUAGUGCAAUAAAACCUAAAGUCAACAAAGGUUGUUUUUGUUUCUUGAUGAUUUUAACUGUUGGUUUACUAUCAGUCUCUCCAACACUCCUGCCUUAAUUCUUGGUGAUUUUAAUAUGCACAUCAAUGAUCUUUCCAAUAUCUUGACCUCCAGCUUCUUGGACACCUCUUUUCAUUCCACUUCAGCCACUCCUUUGGUCAUUCCCUAGUUAGAUCUGCUUAUUACCAUUAACUGCAAACUCAAUUAUCUCAACUUCAUGCAUCCACCUUUCUGGCUGCCACAUCCUGUCUUUCCAGCUUUCCCCUCUAGAUCCCUAGCUCCUCAUAAUUAUUUAUCUUUGUUGGUAAUUCUAAUCUAUUGAUUCUAUCACUGUUUCACUGCCCCUCACCCUUAUUUUCCUCCUCACUUGGCUUAAAUUCCAUAGCCAGUCAUUGAUUGGAUAUUCCUUUUACCCACUGACAAAACCGUAACCCUAAUCAUUACUUAUCUACUCCAUUCUUGCUCCCAUGUAGCUGAACAUGACUGGAAGAAAAAUGCAAGAGUUUCACUUUAAAUUCUUGAAGACAAACCUCAUGUGACCUCAAAAUGCUGCCAGUCAAUCAAAUUAUAUUUUCUCCAAGUUUAUUCACUUGUAGUCAGCUUGGGCUGCUACAAUAAAAUAUCAUAAAGUAGGUAGCUUGUAAACAACAGAUUGUCUUCCUUCUGGUUCUGGAGGCUGGGAAAUUCAUGAUCAAGGCACCAGCAGAUUUAGUGUCUGUUGAAGUCCAGCUUUGUGGUUCAUGGAUGGUGACUUCUCACUGUGAGAAGAUAUGGUGGAAGGAAAGAGGGGUCCUUUCUUGAGCCUCUUUUAUAAGGACACUAAUCUCAAUCAUGAGGACCACCCCCCAUAACCUAAUCACCCUCCAAACGUGAUUAGGCCUUCCAAUACCAUCACCUUGUGGGUUAGGAUUUCAACAUACGAAUUUUGAAGGGACACAAACAUUCAGAGCAUAGCACCCCCUUUUCCUGAAAUGAUUUUAUGUAAUGAUUUUAUGUAAUUGUCUCUUCUCGAAUAUCCAACACUCUAUUCCCAGUCUUACCCUCGAUGAUAACUCUUGUUCCUAUUUCCUGGAGAAAAUCAGAGCAAUCAGAAGAGAUCCCCUGCCACUAAAUCUAUCCUUCUAGCAGCUUGUGAACUCAUAUAAUUUUCUUUCCAGCCUGUUACCAUACAUAUAUGCAUGAUGUCCAUGCUCUCAUCUAAAAUCAGCCUCUGCUUGUGUACUAGAUCAGGGUUGACAAAAUGCAGCCUGUGGCCCAAAUCCUGCAUUUUGUUUUGUUUUUGUACAGCCCGUAAGCCAAGAAUAGUUUUUACUUUUUUUUUUUUUUUUUUUUUUUUGAGACAGUCUUACUCUGUUACCCAGGCUGGAGUGCAGUGGCACAAUCUUGGCUCACUGCAACCUCCACCUCCCGGGUUCAAGCGAUUCUUCUGCCU
rnacentral:lncRNA from 1 species